GAUGAACGCUGGCGGCGUGCCUAAUACAUGCAAGUCGAGCGAACGGACGAGAAGCUUGCUUCUCUGAUGUUAGCGGCGGACGGGUGAGUAACACGUGGAUAACCUACCUAUAAGACUGGGAUAACUUCGGGAAACCGGAGCUAAUACCGGAUAAUAUUUUGAACCGCAUGGUUCAAAAGUGAAAGACGGUCUUGCUGUCACUUAUAGAUGGAUCCGCGCUGCAUUAGCUAGUUGGUAAGGUAACGGCUUACCAAGGCAACGAUGCAUAGCCGACCUGAGAGGGUGAUCGGCCCCACUGGAACUGAGACACGGUCCAGACUCCUACGGGAGGCAGCAGUAGGGAAUCUUCCGCAAUGGGCGAAAGCCUGACGGAGCAACGCCGCGUGAGUGAUGAAGGUCUUCGGAUCGUAAAACUCUGUUAUUAGGGAAGAACAUAUGUGUAAGUAACUGUGCACAUCUUGACGGUACCUAAUCAGAAAGCCACGGCUAACUACGUG
rnacentral:rRNA from 1 species